AUCACAUCCCGCCAAGUGCUGCAGGUUAAAUGAGGGCGCUCCAAUUAUUAAUUGACCUACAGACACUAAAGAUAAUGUAAUUCUGGUGUUGUUGUCUGUUGUCAAUGAAUAUCUCGACACUUUGGUAAAUACUGGGAAACAGUGGAUUGCGUAAUCACACGUGAAAUAGUAUGGUAAUGAAUGGGAAUUUCGCAUGGUCAUGGCCUACAAAGUACAAAUGUAAUUGAAUAACCCGAGUAAACUGUCUGGAAUGGAAAUUCUUUAUAUUAAAAUUUUUAAUAAAUUAAAUGGAACUGAUGGGUACAUUUACUCACGGUUUCUGGGGUGAAACGUU